AUAUUAUCAUGUCUCAGUUGACCUAAUGGUGUAUCUCGCCACUCUCGGCUGCUUACCCACUGGGAACUAUUGUAGUGUACCGAAUUUUUAAUAUAGAAGUAACUAUAAAUAAAAAUAGUGUGAGAUACUAUUUUUAUUGGACUUAAAAAAGUAAAAAAUAAGUCAGAAACGACUUGUGCUGAAAUCAGAACGGAAACAGAAGAUUAGAAUUUUCUGUAAAGAACGGGGCUGAUAUUUUAGCAGAAAAUGCACAAUGUUAGAAAAUUAUGAAAACUGAAGAAUAUGUCGAAAAUAUUUUUAUGAGGCUAGAUUUAAUAUUUCAUGUCAAUCCGACACCCAGAAGGUGAAAAAUAAAAUCCGACUGCUAUCUGCUAGAGAUUAUAGUUCGGUAGAAUUUUCGGCGACCAAACAUGGUCGAAACUGAAUGAUUAACAUUUUUUUUGUACUUAUUAAGUAAACCCGAGCCUGAUU
rnacentral:lncRNA from 1 species